rnacentral:rRNA from 1 species
AUGAUCGGAAAACGGACGGUUGCUGUAAAGAAGCUGUCAAACACAGUUGAUAUUACUGAGAGUAAAUUCCACAGAGAGGUUAAAUGCUUAAUGAAGACCAAGCACAAGAACAUAGUACGUUUUCUGGGGUAUUGUGCUGACACACAAGGAAAAAUGGCAGAAUAUGAGGGGAAGCUUGUCAUGGCAGAUGUACGAAACUGGUUACUCUGUUUUGAGUUUGUACCCAAAGGGAGUCUUGAGAAGCAUAUGUCUGAUGCAUCUUGCGGACUUGAAUGGAGAGAGCGCUAUCGAAUAAUUAGGGGAAUAUGUGAAGGCUUACAUUACCUUCAUGAGAAGCGCAUUCUUCAUUUGGACCUUAAGCCUGCUAAUGUCCUGCUUGAGAUUGGCAUGGUACCCAAAAUUGCUGAUUUUGGUCUCUCGCGGUGUUUUGAUGAAGGGCAAACCCGAGCUGUUACUCAACAUCUGUGUGGAUCUCAGGGGUACUUGGCUCCAGAAAUCUAUAGAGGGCACAUCGCAUUCGCGUCAGACAUAUAUAGUCUUGGUGUUAUAAUCAUGGAGAUACUGACAGGAGCAAAGGGAUAUUUUGAAGAGGAGAAAGUAGUUGAAAGUUGGAUGAAUCGACUGGAUCAGGCACCAGAGGGGCACACACAGUUAGAACAAGUAAGAGUAUGCACUAAGAUCGGGAUAGAGUGCAUGGACUUGGACCCAAAGAAGAGACCAGCUGUGCAGCACAUAAUUGAUAGGCUUGAUAAAACAGCAAGAGCUGACUAUUCAUGCCAAACUGGCAUGAGCAGUUCACUAGCCGAGCUGCAGCCAAGCUUACUCGAGGAACAGUCUGGGAAAAUAAUUGGAAAGCUUGUAGCUGAGAGCCUUAUAAAGGAUAUCAAUGAACGCCCAGAAACGGAAGAUCACUGCCAGCAGGGUCAAGAAAAUGCAGAUCAAUGGUCAUUACGGGAAGCACAAGAUACGGAGCGAAAGGUUAACCGACCAGGAACAAGCAUUUUCGGCUCUAAAUCUAGCUUCUUGGAGAAGCUAAAAAACUUGAAUAUCUUUAGCAGGAAAGCACGCAGGAAUUUCGUGAGGAAUGGUGGCUCACACCUACAGAAUGUCAGGGGCCUAACGAUUUUCACAAAGGCGGAAAUACAGAAAAUCACAAAAAACAAUUCAGAGUUUCUUGGUACCGGAAGAUUUUGUAAAGCCUACAAAGGAACUCUUCCUGACAAUACCAUGGUGGCAGUUAAGACCUUUAUCACGCUAAGCAAUAAUAGUCUGAGGCGGGAGUUUGAGGUGAUAAUAGAAGUCCAUAAAGAACUGAUCCACAAGAACAUCCUCAAGCUCUAUGGUUGCUGCCCUGGGAUGGAUGUUCCAACGUUAGUAUUUGAAUUUGCUGCUAAUGGGAGCCUCGAGAGCAUUGUCCAUGGCAGUAAACAAAAACUUCCUUUAGACUUGCGCAUUGACAUUGCAAUUGGGUUUGCAGAAGGCUUAAGAUACAUGCACUCCUACGCAAAUUGUCCCAUGCGACAUGGUGAUGUCAGACCGAACAACAUAUUUCUCGAUGACAAGUUGACACCAAAAAUUGGAAACUUUGGGCUUUCGAGGCUUUAUAGUUUAGAGGAGAUGAGGCUACAGGCCUCUGAAUCAAGUGAUACACGCAACCAAUUGAUGCUGCAUAAUAUGGGUUACAUGGACCGAAAGUUCAUGCAAGAUGGACAUGUAACAUUAAAGAGUGAGGUCUACAGCUUUGGAGCUAUUCUCUUGGAACUCAUUACCAGGAAGAAGAACAUAUUUGAUGAAAACCGCAUCCUCGUCGAUGAGUACCGCAAAGUUUAUGAGAGAGAAAAGAGUGGACGAGCAAUGUUUGACAAGGAGAUUGCAACUGAAGACAAUAUGUUCGCCCUGGAAGAAAUUGGCAAGGUUGUAAUUGAGUGCCUGAAAGAAGACAGUAAGGAACGACCAGAUAUGACGGAGGUGACGGAACUACUUGUGAUGAUCAGGAGAGAGAGGAGGCUCGUUAAGGCACGCAAUAAGGCGAUUACUACUAGUGUUCCAUAUGCAUAG